UACAGAGGUCCCAAGCGUUGUUCGGAUUCACUGGGCGUAAAGGGUGCGCAGGUGGGUUUGCAAGUUUGAUGUGAAAGCCCCGGGCUUAACCCGGGAAUGACAUUGAAUACUGCAGAUCUGGAGGAUUGGAGGGGGGACUGGAAUUCUUGGUGUAGCAGUGAAAUGCGUAGAUAUCAGGAGGAACACCGGUGGCGAAGGCGGGUCUCUGGGCAGUAACUGACGCUGAGGAGCGAAAGCGUGGGGAGCGAACAGG
rnacentral:rRNA from 1 species